rnacentral:misc_RNA from 1 species
AAGUCGUAACAAGGUUUCCGUAGGUGAACCUGCGGAAGGAUCAUUAUUACGUAUCCACGUAUCAAACCAAACUUGUGAACUGUUUCCCAUCUAGUGAGGGCUUCUGCGAGUCUGCGAUUAAAAAUGCACAGUGAACAAGAGCCUCAAAACUCUUGUGAACCAGACUCGGUUCCUGAACCAACAAAAAUUCAUGGGAAAUUUAAUUUCCUUUGUUCUUUUGCGGUAAUUUUUUGUUCGCCACUGUGCUGCAAACUAUUAACCCCUUGUAAACAUUGAACUAAAUUACUGAGAUGUGUUGGACUUCGGUUCAGCAAUUUCUCUGGAUAACCGAAAUUUAAGAACAACUCUUAACAACGGAUAUCUUGGUUCUC